rnacentral:lncRNA from 1 species
UUUUCCAUUCUCUCUUUAGGGAUCAAGGAUUCAACAUGAACUCUAGUCUUAAUAGUCUCAGAGGAUCAGGCUGAGUCCUCUGGAGGGACUAGAAACAGAUACAAUGUUUCUGCAAUCAUCCCCAGAGCCAGACUGGCUAGGAGCCAGUAAGAAGAGAGGAAAGAGAGAGAGAGGGAGAUAUUGAAACCACAUUUUGUGUCUUGUCAUUUCACAAGGGAAAAAAGCUUUAGUUUCUCUCUUUAUUUUUGUGUUUAUCUGUCUUCCCUUUUGCCUUUUUAAUUCUUGGCCCUAUUCCUUAUUCAUUUCUUAUUUAUUAUUAUAUUCUUUUUCGUUAUUAAAAC